CGGCCAUCAGACGGCGAUGAAGAGCAUAUGCUCUCAUUGAAGGCAAUUUAUCUAUAUCCUCUGAAACUCUCUUGGCUAAAAUACGUUGAUUGUAAACACUAUGUUAAGUAAAGCAUGCCCAGACACUUGAUUGUCCGUUUAUGGUGGUUUUAUGCGAUCAAACGUUGACGACAAAAACAACAAAGUUCCACGGUGGCCAGAGAAAAUCAGUCCUGACUUGAGGGCCGUUCCAAAGCGUUUUGUCAGGCAACUCUGGACAAGAACGGUGAGCCUCCACGAGGAAGACUGGUGUCCACGGCAACCCAUCCUCAUCAGGGUCUCCAGCGUUCACACCUCUCCUUUCACCCUGGAGAACGGAACCCUCUGUUUGUCCUCAAGCGACGCUCCUGGUGGCCGUCCACGGAGAGGGAAGUUGGGGAAUAUGUGGACACCUGUCUUGUGUGCGCCUGAAAGAAGAUCUCCCAACGAGACCAGGAGACCUCCUGGUCUCUUGUGCACCCUCUGAAGGAAGCACUCCUGCUCAUCCAUCAAUCAAAAGUUGCUGCUGGGAAUGUCACAGCCAAAUUGACCGUGCUCCAGUACCACAAGCCAGAGAAACCAAGAUGCCAUUGUUAGCAAUACCAAUUCUAGCCAGGUUAGCCAUUGAAAGCCAUUGUUAGGAAUACCAGUUGUUAACAAUGCAUUAGUAUUAUUUUGCGCAUACAACCAUGCACACAGAUAUAAGUUGGACAGUAGUGUUUGUACAAUUGCUUAUAAACAGUAUAUUACUCCAGUUUUCACUACUGUUGAUCCGUCAAGGAUCUUGAGGACAGGAUUGUGAUGAUCUUGUGACUUUCUGAGUCAAAGAGCUGACUUCAGUGGGCGUUCCAGUGGGCAUUCCAGUUUAAAUUUACGACUGGGAACUUUGACUUCCCAGUUCAAAUGAAACGUGUGUCUUUCCUAAAAUCAGUGUAAAUAAUGACCUCAAUGGCAUUUUGCUUUUAAUAAAUGGUUACAAACAGCGUAAACUAAAGUAAUCACCCUGCAAGAUAAAAUGUGAUAAUUUCUAGAAAAAUAUACGUAAAUAAUUCUCCCAGGCAAUAUAGUUCCCCAAGACAGCAAUAGCAACACAGACUAGUAUACUUUGAGAUUGGCAGCAUAUUAGUAUUAAAAAUCAUUGUAAUGCGCCCACAUGUGUGUGAGUAUGGUUUCAGCUAAUCCAAAUCAAGAAACAGAAAUAGCCUUUUAAUAAUUACCAAAUAGCACUAGCAUAAUAGCCUUAAUAUGUUGUAAUAGCUUAGAAUAAGCCUCAGGCAAAAAAAACCUUAGUAAAGGCUUUAUCAAUAGCUGGUGAUUAAAACAAUGAAUUAUUACUCUGGAUAUUAGUGGUGGUUUAAAAUGUGUAGGUAUAUUGUAACAGAAUAUUUUUAUAAAUGGAUCCAGAAACACCAUUUACACAGACUUGUCGCAAGAUAUUUAAACCUGAUUGAUUCAGUCUCUAAUUUAACUGCAUAUUGCAAACACUUGAAUCACAUCGGCCACAUACAUUUUUCAAGUUGGUUUAAUUACAGCAAAGUCUACAUAUAGCUUACAAAUGGAUUCCAAACAUUAUGACUUAAAGAACUGGAGAUCACUGCAAAAUGAUUUACAUUCGACGCAAAGCAGUUAAAACCACCUAUGAAAGUUGUUGAGUGUGGUCAAUAAUAAGUGCGAGACCUCAGUCGCUGUUAACCAAAUGGUCACUUUGUUACUGACUAGAGUGCUAUUAAAAUGGAUGUGUUGCUGUUACAAUAUAAAAGCAUGAACAAACAACAGCCAAUGCAUAUGUUGUUUUAUAGCAACCAUCUUCUAAGCAAUGUAUAAUGUAAAUAUAUUUAGCAUAUCCAUACAGUGACAUAUGCAUCUUUAUGUGAGGGAACCGGAUGGCAUUGCUGAGGCAAUCCCAAUACCUGUCAUUCUAAUACUAAUUGGAUGUUGUUUUUUUACAUUGAAGGAGUGGCUAUGGUUAAUCUACGUCAAACCUCAUAAAAUAAACAAAUGCAAAAUAAGAUGAUUGGUCACUGAAAUUACUAGACCUUACUUAUAAAAUACAAAUUCUGCAAAGAAUAAUGUUCAUGUGAACCAAAUCAGACAUGCAUGUCAAAGCUAUUCAAGAAUUGCGUGAAAAACAAAGCCGCAUGCCUAUACAUUCAUAUAAACAUAGCUUGUAGGGGCCAGUGCUCAUUUUAACUGUUUCUCAAUGAAUAUAUAUCAAAUCUUC
ensembl:lncRNA